CAGUAGCCGCGGGAAAACAGAGGGUGCAAGCGUUAAUCGGAAUUACUGGGCGUAAAGCGCGCGUAGGUGGUUUGUUAAGUUGGAUGUGAAAGCCCCGGGCUCAACCUGGGAACUGCAUCCAAAACUGGCAAGCUAGAGUACGGUAGAGGGUGGUGGAAUUUCCUGUGUAGCGGUGAAAUGCGUAGAUAUAGGAAGGAACACCAGUGGCGAAGGCGACCACCUGGACUGAUACUGACACUGAGGUGCGAAAGCGUGGGGAGCAAACAGGAUUAGAUACCCGCGUAGUCCCUGUCUCUUAUAC
rnacentral:rRNA from 1 species